rnacentral:misc_RNA from 1 species
CCGAGUGCGGGUCCUUGCGGCCCAACCUCCCACCCUUGUCUCUAUACACCUGUUGCUUUGGCGGGCCCACUGGGGCCACCUGGUCGCCGGGGGACGCAUGUCCCCGGGCCCGCGCCCGCCGAAGCGCUCUGUGAACCCUGAUGAAGAUGGGCUGUCUGAGUACCAUGAAAAUUGUCA